AUGACGGUGCUAGUCUGGAACUGUCGAGGCCUCGGGCAACCUCGAACGGUUCAAGAACUCGUGUGCCUUGUGCACACAUACAAGCCCAAGCUCGUCUUACUUUCUGAAACGCGACAGAAUAACAAAUAUGUCAAGAACCUCAAGUGGAGGCUAGGCCUUCAUCAAUGUAUCACGUAGCCCGGCACUGGAAAAGGUGUCGGCAUUGCACUCUUUUAUGAUGAAAGUGUGGAAAUAAAGAAGUUGGCCGUAGGGGCGAGAUACAUCGAUGUGUUGGUUAGGAUGAAUCCCAAUGGCUUCCAAUGGCGGGGAACAUUUGUGUAUGGGGAACCGAAAGCUCAUGAACGGCACAACUUGUGGACUUUGCUAAGAAGAUAA
rnacentral:rRNA from 1 species